rnacentral:rasiRNA from 1 species
GCAUAUCUCGGCAGCCCGCGGCAUAU